GCAGUAAUUUAAAAUAAUAAUAGUGGUAGGGUACUUUACCACUAGGCUUUAGGUUGCUCGUUUAACGCUGCAAUAACCCUGUGAGAUGGGAAUUGUCAUCCUCUCUGCUGGGUGAGGAAGUGGAAGCUCAGAAAGGAUGAACGGCUUAUCCUCGGUGACUCGGCUGGAACUGGUUCGAGAUGGCGUUGCUGGCCAGGAGAUCCACUUUAUUUUCAGUCGAGCUUUGGAAGCAGAAGGGCUAAAGCAACCAACAAGGAACCUCAUGGCUGUAAAGUCUGUUUAUAUCCGGUAGUAGCUGCUGCUAUCGCCCAUGUCAAACCGCUGGGACAGGAAACAUAUGCAGCCAAUUGAUAAAGAGGGCAUCUGCUGUGAGCACGCUAAUCUCGAGGAGAUGGGGAUCCCAAGCCACCCGAAUUAGCCGCAGACCAGAAAGGGGCCCUUUCAGGGUUCCUCUCAGUUGCUAAGACACGCUGCUUGAAAAAAAAAAAACACCUCCUCCCUCACCCAGAGUGGGGAAAACAGAAGCUGCCAUUGCUUAACUUCCUUAUAAAUAACCAAGCAACACCAGCAUCCGCACCUUAGUAAAGGCUGAUCUGCCAAAAAAAAAAAAAAAAAAAAAAAAAAAUGCUGCCUUGUCUCCUUCUUGGGGCCAUAGAGUGGUGGACCAGUUCACUGAUCCAUCACCUUGGCCAAGAGACCUUCCUUUUCUAGCUGUGUGACAUAGUGGAUGAGUUCUAUGGUGGCAGGAAGAGGACAAAAGAGGAGAUCCAGCCAGGAAAUGAGGCACCUGUCGACACGCCAGUCAAGUCAGCCUUAGAAAGCCUUGGUCCUGACUUGAGAGAGCGACUCUGCGGAGACUGGCCUGUCCCCUGAGGAAGACAGGCACUCCCAGGCGUAGCAACUGGAACAACAACUUCCUUUUGACUAGGAUGACUCCUCACGGUCAGGAAGACAACUUUGCAUUUGCGGUGGUCAGGUCUCUAAGGGGGGCUGGAACACACUUCUUCCAUUUGGAUCUUUGGUUUUUGUUUUGUUUUUUUUUUAUUUAUUUUUCUGGUCUUUUGUCUUUUUAGGGCUGCACCUGCAGCAUAUAGAAGCUUCCCAGGCUAGGGGUCUAAUCGGAGCUGUUGUGGCUGGCCUACACCACAGCCACAGCAACACCAGAUCCGAGCCGUCUGUGACCUACACCACAGCUCAUGGCAACAUGGGAUCCUUAACCCACUGAGUGAAGCCAGGGAUUGAACCCGCAACCUCAUGUUUCCUAGUCGGAUUCGUUUCCACUGAGCCUUGAUGGGAACUCCUGUUUUAUAAUUUUUUAAAGUUUUAUUGACAUAUAGUUGAUUUAAAAUGUGAUAAUUUCUGCUGUACAACAAACCAAUUCAGUUAUACAUGUACACAUAUCCAUUUUUCUUUCAGAUUAUUUUCCCAUAUAGAUUAUCACAGAAUAUUGGGUAGAGUUCCCUGUGCUUUACAGCAGGUCCCCAUUGGCCAAUCAUUCCACAUACCUCAGUGUGCGCAUGCCAGCCCCAAACCCCCAGCCCAUCCCUCCCCCUCAUCCCUGUCUCCUUAGGUAACCAUAAGUUUUUCAGUCUGCGAGUCCAUUUGGAUCUUUCUCUGUGGUCUCUUCCUGCAAUGGUAACCUUUAGAAUCAAUCAUCGAUACAAACUGAAUCCCAGCAUCACUGUAAUAGAAGAUGUUAAACUAAUAUUUUUAAAUAUAGCGAAGCUUAUUGUCACAUUGUUCUUAUCCAAAGAGUAAAAUGCUUUUGUUAUUAUUUGUUAUAUAUCAUUUUAUUAUUACAGAAAUAAAUUAACUUAAUCCAU
rnacentral:lncRNA from 1 species